rnacentral:rRNA from 1 species
UACGGAGGGUGCAAACGUUGCUCGGAAUUAUUGGGCGUAAAGCGCACGUAGGCGGUCCGCUAAGUCGGGUGUGAAAUCCCUCGGCUUAACCAAGGAAGUGCAUUCGAAACUGGCGGGCUCGAGUACUGAAGAGGGUCGCGGAAUUCCCGGUGUAGAGGUGAAAUGCGCAGAUAUCAGGAGGAACACCGGUGGCGAAGGCGGGUCUCUGGGCAACAACUGACGCUGAGGAGCGAAAGCGUGGAGAGCGAACAGG